GAGAUGAUAUAAAGUCCAAUGUGGAGGCUUUUUUUUAUAGCUCAUGGGACACAAGGAGCACAAGAUGAAUUGCGCAUUUACAGAGCCAAUGGUGUCUUUGCCUUACCUUUGUCAAUGUGCCUUUGUCAUGUGUUCAUGAGGCUUUUAACACAUCAGACCAAGGGCAGAGAGACGAAUUGCUUGUUCCCCAUAUUCAAGGUCGUCUGUGGUACAAGCAUAAUACGGGCAUGCCUGAUCCCAAUCAGGAACUUUUCACUGGGGGACUUGGAUGGGUUUGAAACCAGAAUAGUUCCUCUUCUACCACGUGCUGAAAAUAUGGGUAUCCUACCAAUAACUGGAAGGGCUAGGUUGCUCAAUUGAGGGGAGUGGGUUGAGGCUUCUCUGCUUGCAGUUGUGUUGGGAUUUAGCAAGCUGUCCAUCAUUGCUUUUCUGUACAACGCUCUGACAACAAUGGUUUUCUGUUCCAAAGAUAGUUACUUUUAACCAUCGGAGGGGAUAUCUCCAAUUCUUGCCAGCCAGUAUGUUGUGGUCUCUUUGGGAAAUGCUCCCCAAGCAUGGUUAUUGUGAAUGCUAUUAGAUGUGGAAUUAUUUACUUCUGUCCAGCUCCCGGUACUAUUGACAACCUCUAUCACUGCAGAGCACUUCCAUUUGUUCAUUAUAGUAACCUGGUUUUUGUUACACAAUUAGUGUUCUGUAUUAAGUUUGGUACCAUAUGAAAGCUCUAAUUCUGAUGAAGAGACAAUUUCUGUCUUGACCAUGUAGCUAUAUGAAAGCACCCUAAUUAUGAUCAAGAGACAAUUUCUAAAUAUUUGUUCCUAUUACUCGUUAUCCUUCUCAUUGAUGCUUACCUUGCAAGGCCAUAUCAUUCACAUUAUCAGCAGUGAAGUGAAAUUGAGAACUUACCGAGAUGCUGGUCACACCUGCAGAUCUUUGUACUGAUGUAGAGGUCUUGGUGUAUCUCCGUCGCCUCCUAGGACCUGAAUUCAUUGUGGGGUUCGCCUAUGGUUUUCCUUCACAGUUGGUUAAGCAUGAUGCAAUCUCAUCUGACUAGGAACAUUGGGAGAAGCAGGUCAUCUUGCAGAUUAUGAAUCUGUUUAUGUGAAGAAGCUGGGAUCUUCUAUUUCCAUUAACCUCAGCUCCAGGUUGUUGUGCUGAUUUCGAAUCUGUCUGGAGCCAGGUCCAUUGAUCUGUGUUCCUUAGCUCCUUUAUUCAUCAUCUCUUCCAAUUUUCUGGCAUUGUUAUUAUAUAUGUAUAUUAUGUGGUGGCAGAGCCACGCUUAAUUGCAAGGAGGUAGUGUCAACGUUAGUGAACUGUCCACAAACUUUCUGCAAAUCCAUGUUGAUAAGAGGGAGUUGGGUCUUUCCGUCUAUAAUCUGGAUAUUAGUGCACUGGUUAUGCAACUAUCGUGCCAACCUCAGAACUGGUGAAAAAUUGCGGUGAGGAAGGCUACUUUCAGCAAUGUGGCGGCCAUUGAAUUUUGCUAGAGUGCAACUAUGGUGGAUAGGUUGGCUACAUAGAAUGCAAUUUUGUCUUGAUUAAAGAACUAUACCUUAUCCCAUCUGGAGUAGAAAACCUGCUGCUCUGCUGAAUGCUUUUGUUUCCUUUUGUCGUAGUUAAGUCAACAGAAACAUCUAGAAGAUAAGAGUUGUCUUCAUUGUGAUGUGGCCAGAGGAGAGCGGGACCAGACCACUUGUUGCUGCUCAAGUAGGGAUGGAUGUAGAGUUGUUGGAAUAUGUGUUGUCAAGGGAGCAAUUGAAACUAGAUGGUUGCCGUACUGUAAUUCUCAAUUCCUAUUGAUAAUCUGCUCCUUUU